GUCGGGGUGCUGGAAUGGUAGACAGUGUUGACUUAAAAUCAACUGAGCGCAAGCUCGUGAGGGUUCGACUCCCUCCCCCGACACCA
rnacentral:tRNA from 1 species